rnacentral:rRNA from 1 species
UACGUAGGGGGCAAGCGUUGUCCGGAUUUAUUGGGCGUAAAGAGCGUGUAGGCGGUUCGGUAGGUCCGUUGUGAAAACUCGAGGCUCAACCUCGAGACGCCGAUGGAAACCCCCGAACUAGAGUCCGGAAGAGGAGAGUGGAACUCCUAGUGUAGAGGUGGAAUUCGUAGAUAUUAGGAAGAACACCAGUGGCGAAGGCGGCUCACUGGUCCGGUACUGACGCUGAGGUGCGAAAGCGUGGGGAGCAAACAGG